CCUACGGGAGGCAGCAGUAGGGAAUCUUCCGCAAUGGACGAAAGUCUGACGGAGCAACGCCGCGUGAACGAUGAAGGCCUUCGGGUCGUAAAGUUCUGUUGUUAGGGAAGAACAAGUGCUAGUUGAAUAAGCUGACACCUUGACGGUACCUAACCAGAAAGCCACGGCUAACUACGUGCCAGCAGCCGCGGUAAUACGUAGGUGGCAAGCGUUGUCCGGAAUUAUUGGGCGUAAAGCGCGCGCAGGCGGUUUCUUAAGUCUGAUGUGAAAGCCCCCGGCUCAACCGGGGAGGGUCAUUGGAAACUGGGAAACUUGAGUGCAGAAGAGGAAAGUGGAAUUCCAAGUGUAGCGGUGAAAUGCGUAGAGAUUUGGAGGAACACCAGUGGCGAAGGCGACUUUCUGGUCUGUAACUGACGCUGAGGCGCGAAAGCGUGGGGAGCAAACAGGAUUAGAUACCCUGGUAGUCCACGCUGUAAACGAUGAGUGCUAAGUGUUAGAGGGUUUCCGCCCUUUAGUGCUGAAGUUAACGCAUUAAGCACUCCGCCUGGGGAUACGGUCGCAAGACUGAAACUCAAAGGAAUUGACGG
rnacentral:rRNA from 1 species